UACGUAGGGGGCGAGCGUCGUCCGGAUUUAUUGGGCGUAAAGAGCGCGUAGGCGGUGCGUUAAGUCCGUGGUGAAAUCUCCCGGCUCAACUGGGAGGGUGCCAGGGAUACUGGCGUGCUGGAGGACGGCAGAGGAAGGUGGAAUUCCCGGUGUAGUGGUGAAAUGCGUAGAGAUCGGGAGGAACACCAGUGGCGAAAGCGGCCUUCUGGGCCGGUCCUGACGCUGAGGCGCGAAAGCGUGGGGAGCGAACCGG
rnacentral:rRNA from 1 species